GAGGCUCUGCUUGGUCAGUAAGGGAGGGGUGUGAGACAGACUGAAGAGUGUGAUGGUAUCUUCUGUAGAACUUCCCACCUUGCUGAAGGGGUUAUGUUCUGUCAGAAAAGUGAUUGCUGUUCAUCAGUUAGUAAAAAUAACUAUACUGGCAUGAGUGGAGCCCAGCAGUCUGUCCUUUCUGUGUAUGUGUAUAGCUUAAGGACAAAUGGAGCUGGAUUUGCUUCAUGUAAAGCGUAACUGUAGGUCUUUGUCUGCUGGAGCCAUGGAAGACCAAGGGAGGUGCUGUUUCUCAGUGUGUGGCUGCUCUAAAGAGGGGCUUCCAGAAAGCUUGUAUGCUGUGGAACUGGUCCCUGCUAACAGAGGAAUUACUCCAGCCUUCCUGUGAUGAAGUGGUUUUCUUGGUGAAACAGACAAUUUUGGAGGAAAGUGGUAACAGCUACAAGUCUCACGGCUGUGUGAACUGCUUUGCUGGGGAUGCCUCCAAUGCUGCAGAAGUAGAACUGACGUGAGCACAUGCCCCAAUUAGUAUGAAAAGCUGUUUCCAGUUAAAGUGAGAGCAGUGCUGAUUAUACUGAAGUUAUAUUCUCUGAAGCACAUUUGAAGAUGUCCAUCUGUCCUGUUUGUCCUCGCCCUCAUGUAAUGUCUGAGUGUGGGGCAGCAAGGCUGUGAGCCAGCAGGGAGCUGCUCAUCCCACCAAGUCUUCCUUCUAACCCAUUCCGCCUGCCUUGAUCUUCGGUAGGCAAUUUUGUUCUUCACAUGUAAGUUCCUGGGGAUUUGUUGCUUUUUCAAAUUAUCUUUACAAUAUUUUUUUAUUACGUUAAGUGCACUUGCAAAAUAUUUCAAUUAAGUUUUCAAUUAAGGCAGGUCAGUGUUUUACUAAUGAUUCAACUGUGGGCUGUUUUCAAGCAACUGCAAUAAGAGAAUCUCCAAGCAGGUGGUACUGGGGAGAAAGACUUCUGUUUGGAAAGGUCAUGCCUGGAACUUCUCUCUGUUUCAUCUAUCACAAAAGACAGCUACGAGCUACCUAGCAAAUGCCAUACAAAUAGUAGGAAUAUUCUGACAUGUUGCUGAUCUAAAUUAAUGUUUGGUAACUGCUGGAGACAAUGCAGUGCUUUCAAGUGCAUUUGAAGGGCUGUCCCUGCAUGUAGCUGGUGUUUCUGAAAUAUUGUUUCCCCAAGAUACUAAUUAAUAAAGGAAAUAUCUCAUUAUUUGGAGUAAUUUAAAACUGUAUGUGGAAAUGAAGGUGCAAAGGGGCCUGGUGCCAUCCUGAUAGCCUGCUCUGCACUAGGAGUUGUUCCAGCAACCUG
rnacentral:lncRNA from 7 species